GUGCUCGCUUUGGCAGCACAUAUACUAAAAUUAGAACGAUACAGAGAAGAUUAGCAUGGCCCUUGUGCAAGGAUGAUAUGCAAAUUCAUGAAGCGUUCCAUGUUUUU
rnacentral:snRNA from 1 species